GGCCCUGGGACCCGCCCCACCCAAACCCCGGGGAGAUCCAACCGCAGGCUGCCUCCGGCCAGCGGAUUCACACACGGCAAACAGGCCGGGGCCAGACGCCGCCCUGCCCUAGGUGCCCAGCAAACACGUGGGCCAGCCAGACCCCUGGACCCUCACAGGGAGGAGGAGAUGGAGAUGGGUUCACCCCCACAAAGGAGGGCGGGGAGGGGAUGGCCGUCACGCCCAGGUGCCGGGACAGGAGCUGAGGGCCGCGUGCACCCCUUGGGCCCUUGGAGGGGCCGGCAUGUGCCUCUCUGUCCCUGUGCCACUUCCACUGGCUGUACAGGGCUACCACCACGGAAACCGCAUGUGUAACCCCUGGAAACAGGGUCCUCCUUGAUGAAUCAUGUUCUAAGUUGGGAGGAAAAUUCACUGGAUAGUGGAGGCCUAGAAAGAAAGAAAAAAUGUCUUUGUUCCACA
rnacentral:lncRNA from 1 species